rnacentral:tRNA from 1 species
GGAUGAUUAGCUCAGUUGGUUAGAGCGCUACAUUGACAUUGUAGAGGUCACUGGUUCGAAUCCAGUAUCAUCCA